GGACCAGCUAGACCGAGAAGAACCUACAAAACAUACAUCACAUGUUAUUUAUCAAUAACAACAUAGUUUUCUUCCAAGUGGGCUUGUAAGUUGAAUCCAAAUCUUCAACCCACAAAAAUGAAUUCUCAACUCUUGAGUAUCCAACUACAAGUAAAUGAGAUGACUAGAAUUCAUAUGAUGCACUUUACCAUUAGUUCUGAAUUAAAACCUUAUUUUAAAAGGAUCACAUCCUUAACUGCAGAUAUUUACUAUGAUCCACAAAAAAUGCAUGUAAAAAGAAAAUUUUUGUAACAAAGCAGACAUCAAAAUUUUAACUAAUCAGAAGAAGAAUUGUCACAAUACUCAAUUGAUUUUUUUUUUGUUCAUACCCUUACAGCCAUCAUGGUCAGCCCGAUUAUAGUAGUUU
rnacentral:misc_RNA from 1 species